AUAUAAAAGUAGGGCUACAAUACUUUUAUAAGUAUAGAGUCCUAUUUACUCAUAAGUUGUUUUCGAUAAUGGAGCUUCUGAAUCAACGAUCCAGUCCGUUAAAUAUAAUUUAGAGUAUUUGAAACUUUUAAAAAAUAAAUUUUGUAAUUUUUCGAAAUCAUAAUAACGUCCAUCAAGUGGGCAUAAAAUGAACUAUCAAAAUCUCUAUAUUGAUCUUUAUCUAGAUAGUGAAUAAAAUUUUCUAUUAAAAAUUCAAUUGAUUCCGAUUUUUUUACACCAUUAAACUAGCAAGUAUUCCAUACCGAUCAUUAAAAAUUGUCAAUUUUGUGAUCUUUUAAUUGUAAUGAUAUAAAAAAAAUUAUAAAAUUUGAUUUUUUGAAGUUUUUAAAUAUUCUAAAUAAUAUUUAACGGUAUGAAUCGUCGAUUCGAAAGUUUUAUGAUUGAAAACGACUUAGGAGUAUGAAGGCGAUCACACUCAUAAGAGUAUAGUAG
rnacentral:lncRNA from 1 species